CCUACGGGAGGCAGCAGUGGGGAAUAUUGCACAAUGGGGGAAACCCUGAUGCAGCGACGCCGCGUGAGUGAAGAAGUAUUUCGGUAUGUAAAGCUCUAUCAGCAGGGAAGAAAAUGACGGUACCUGAUUAAGAAGCCCCGGCUAACUACGUGCCAGCAGCCGCGGUAAUACGUAGGGGGCAAGCGUUAUCCGGAUUUACUGGGUGUAAAGGGAGCGUAGACGGCAGGACAAGUCUGGAGUGAAAUGCCGGGGCUUAACCCCGGAAAUGCUUUGGAAACUGGGCAGCUAGAGUGCAGGAGAGGUAAGUGGAAUUCCUAGUGUAGCGGUGAAAUGCGUAGAUAUUAGGAGGAACCCCAGUGGCGAAGGCGGCUUACUGGACUGUAACUGACGUUGAGGCUCGAAAGCGUGGGGAGCGAACAGGAUUAGAUACCCGGGUAGUC
rnacentral:rRNA from 1 species